rnacentral:rRNA from 1 species
AGACAGGUGCUGCAUGGCUGUCGUCAGCUCGUGUCGUGAGAUGUUGGUUAAGUCCGCAACGAGCGCAACCCCUAUUGUUAGUUGCCAUCAUUCAGUUGGGCACUCUAGCGAGACUGCCGGUAAUAAACCGGAGGAAGGUGGGGAUGACGUCAAAUCAUCAUGCCCCUUAUGACCUGGGCUACACACGUGCUACAAUGGUUGGUACAACGAGUUGCGAGUCGGUGACGGCGAGCUAAUCUCUUAAAGCCAAUCUCAGUUCGGAUUGUAGGCUGCAACUCGCCUACAUGAAGUCGGAAUCGCUAGUAAUCGCGGAUCAGCACGCCGCGGUGAAUACGUUCCCGGGCCUU